rnacentral:rRNA from 1 species
CUACGGGCCGCUGCAGUCAAGAAUCUUCCGCAAUGCACGAAAGUGUGACGGAGCGACGCCGCGUGCAGGACGAAGGCCUUCGGGUCGUAAACUGCUUUUAUUAGGGACGAACAAAUGACGGUACCUAAAGAAUAAGGGGUUGCUAACUCUGUGCCAGCAGCAGCGGUAAUACAGAGACCUCAAACGUUGUCCGGAUUUAUUGGGCGUAAAGGGUCCGCAGGCGGUUUUAUAAGUCAUAUGUCAAAUCUUCAGGCUCAACCUGGAGGCUGCGUGUGAUACUGUAAGACUAGAGGAUGGGAGAGGUGCACGGAAUUGCUGGUGUAGCGGUAAAAUGCGUUAAUAUCAGCAAGAACACCAAAGGCGAAGGCAGUGCACUGGAACAUUCCUGACGCUCAGGGACGAAAGCGUGGGUAGCGAAUGGGAUUAGAUACCCCGGUAGUC